AGUGAACGCUGGCGGUAGGCCUAACACAUGCAAGUCGAACGGCAGCACAGUAAGAGCUUGCUCUUACGGGUGGCGAGUGGCGGACGGGUGAGGAAUACAUCGGAAUCUACUUUUUCGUGGGGGAUAACGUAGGGAAACUUACGCUAUUACCGCAUACGACCUACGGGUGAAAGCAGGGGAUCUUCGGACCUUGCGCGAUUGAAUGAGCCGAUGUCGGAUUAGCUAGUUGGCGGGGUAAAGGCCCACCAAGGCGACGAUCCGUAGCUGGUCUGAGAGGAUGAUCAGCCACACUGGAACUGAGACACGGUCCAGACUCCUACGGGAGGCAGCAGUGGGGAAUAUUGGACAAUGGGCGCAAGCCUGAUCCAGCCAUACCGCGUGGGCGAAGAAGGCCUUCGGGUUGUAAAGCCCUUUUGUUGGGAAAGAAAAGCAGCAGGUUAAUACCCCGCUGUUCUGACGGUACCCAAAGAAUAAGCACCGGCUAACUUCGUG
rnacentral:rRNA from 1 species